GGGUUGUGAGGUUAAGCGACUAAGCGUACACGGUGGAUGCCCUGGCAGUCAGAGGCGAUGAAGGACGUGCUAAUCUGCGAAAAGCGUCGGUAAGGUGAUAUGAACCGUUAUAACCGGCGAUGUCCGAAUGGGGAAACCCAGUGCAAUUCGUUGCACUAUCGUUAACUGAAUACAUAGGUUAACGAGGCRAACCGGGGGAACUGAAACAUCUAAGUACCCCGAGGAAAAGAAAUCAACCGAGAUUCCCCCAGUAGCGGCGAGCGAACGGGGAGCAGCCCAGAGUCUGAAUCAGCUUGUGUGUU
rnacentral:rRNA from 1 species